CACGUAGGGGGCGAGCGUUGUCCGGAAUCAUUGGGCGUAAAGAGCUCGUAGGCGGUUCAGUAAGUCAGGUGUGAAAGCUCCGAGCUCAACUCGGAGAGGCCACCUGAUACUGCUGUGACUAGAAUCCAGUAGGGGAGUGUGGAACUCCUGGUGUAGCGGUGAAAUGCGCAGAUAUCAGGAGGAACACCAAUGGCGAAGGCAGCACUCUGGGACGUGACUGACGCUGAGACGCGAAAGCGUGGGGAGCAAACAGG
rnacentral:rRNA from 1 species